rnacentral:rRNA from 1 species
CCGUGAAGAAGCGGGGAUAUAAAUAUAAGACGAGAAGACCCCAUGGAGCUUUAAACCCAACAACACCUAUCUAUUUUAUUCCCCCAUAUUUAUACGGUUAUGUUUGUUUGGUUUUAGGUUGGGGUGACCGCGGAGUAUAAAACAACCUCCACGAAGAAAAGACUAAUAAUCUUUAUCAGAGAAAGACAUUUCUAAGAAACAAUAUAUUAACUUUAAAUGAUCCGAUAUUCGAUUAACGAAUCAAGUUACCCUGGGGAUAACAGCGCAAUCCACCUUAAGAGCCCUUAUCGACAGGUGGGUUUACGACCUCGAUGUUGGAUCAGGGUAUCACAGUGGUGCAGCAGCUACUAAUGGUUCGUUUGUUCAACGAUUAAAACCCU